CUCUUCCCUUUUCCUCCCCAAGGCCACACAUCUCCUCGCUGCAGCCUUGCCGCAGCUAUCCUCCUCUCUUCUUCUUCUUCUUCUUCUUCUUCUUCUUCUUCUUCUUCUUCCCUUUUCAUCCUCAACGCCCCACACAUCCUCUCCUCUGUUUCCACCUGCGGGAAACAGAGGUGCUGCAGCCCUAGCUGCUGCAGCUGCCUCUCUUUCUCCUCUCCAUCUUCCCUCUCUUCUACUUCUUCUUUUCUUCUCUUCUCCCUCUUCUUCCUCUCUUCUUUUCCCUCUUCUUCUCUUCUCCCUCUACUUCUCUUCUUCUUCUCCCCACGCCCCACCGCUUCUCUCUGUUUCUCGAAGAAACAGAGAGAGCGUGGGAGGCGGUGGGAUAAAACCGAAGUUUUCGGUUUUCUUUAUUUUCUUCUUUUUACAACUUAACAGUUUAGUCCUUGAAAUUUCCAUAUUUACAUAUAGGUCCUCCGAUUUAUAAAUAAAUCUUUAUUAAUAAGUUUCAAAAGUGAGGGAUAUUACA
rnacentral:lncRNA from 1 species